rnacentral:lncRNA from 1 species
AAGUGUUUCCAGCACAUUGAAAGUUUGCUCUUUAGUUGAAUUAUGCACUAUCCAUAAAAGGUCCAGACUUUUGUUAGCAUAUAUGAGUGAGUGGCUUGGGGAUCUUGGUCGUUAUUAUUUCUUGGCAUACUGCUAAUUGAUCUAUGCUAAUAUUUCUAAAGGGAAAAGGAGAUUGAGAAAAGCUGUGCUAGCAUUUGGGCAUAUGUAUGAAACUGCAUUGUGGCUGUGCAUGGGCUCUGUGUAGUGGUUCUGUGCAAACUACAAAGCUAUGGUGUUUAGAUAUUGGUGGCUGCAAAUUAAGUUUGGACUCAUAGGAAAUUCAUGCAAAAAAGGUAGAGGAGAGUAAUAUGUACAUAUAUAAUUUUACUUUAGCCAAUGAUCAUGCCAUUGGAAUUAUUGGAAGUAAUAUAUAGAGCUUCGAGAGACAUGAUAGAAAGAAAGGAGAACAGUAGCAAUGUGAAAUAGUACUUCCGGUUUGGGGGUUAUAAACAUGCCGGAUCUGUAUUUGCGAAAGGAUGAUUUAAAGUAGAGCUAAGCACGUUUGGUUUGCCUAUUUAACUUCAACGUUGUAUUCCUUCCAAAAUGGCUGCUUCUUUGAACAUAGGUGACGAGAUUGCUCCAAAUAAGGAAUACCAGGGUUGAUCUGUGCAAUUUUAUCUUUGCUUUUUGUUGCUGGUUCAUUUGGAAGCAGCGGAGUAAAGUGUUGUAUGACCCUAGCUUUGGUACAAGUUUAAGGUAAUGAUCCUAUUCUUUCCACAUAUAGCAGAAUAACAAAUCCUAACAGAAUUAAGAAUAUUCUCUCCUCCUAGUUUUAGCACUGACCCCCAUCUGUACUUUUUAGGGCCAAUUACAUAUAAGUCCAUUUUGAGACAUUUUUUCCCACAUAGGUCCACCCCAACAUUUUUACCCACAUAAGUCCACCCAAGUCUAAAUAAGAUUUUAUAUUAAGUAUUGAAGUUCAACGUAAUUACAGACUGCCAUCCAACAAAAAAAUUAGAUUUUCUCUUUUAUAUUUACAAGAAUGUCACUAGUAUAAAAAGUCAACAACCACUCUUAUUUCAAAAUAGCCUCCGGCCGACCUCCGGCCAGAUUUCCAGCUGACAUCCGGCAAGGUUUCCGGCAGACCUCCGACGAGAUUUCCGACCGAUCUUCGGCGAGGUUUCCGACCGACCUCCGGUGAGGUUUCCGGCCGACCUCCGACGAUGACAAAAAUUACUACUACCAGCUAUAAAAGCUACUACCACGUACACCAGCCUACAAAAGCUACUACUGUGAGGUUUCCGACGAACACAAACUACUACCACCAGCCAUAAAAGCUACUACCACCAGCUACAAAAACUACUACCACCGCCUACAAAAGCUACUACUGUGAGGUUUCUGACGAACACAAAAACUACUACCACCAGCCACAAAAGCUACUAUCACCAGCUACAAAAGCUAUUACUACCAAAUGCUACUACACAAUACCACAAAAGCUACUGCUAAGGAAGUAGAAAGCUACUACCAAGGAACACGAAAGCUACUGCCAAAGCUACGAACACGAAAGCUACGAAUAUGAAAGUUACUGCCAAGGAACAAGAAAGCUACUACUACCAAAUGCUACUACACAAUCCACAAAAGCUACUGUCAAGGAACACGAAAGCUACUACCAAAGUACAAGAAAGCUACUACCAAGGAACACGAAAGCUACUACCAAGGAACACGAAAGCUACUACCAAGGAACACGAAAGCUACUACCAAGGAACACGAAAGCUACUACCAAAGGACAAGAAAGCUACUACCAAAGGACAAGAAAGCUACUACAUAAUACCACAAAAGCUAGUACCAAGGAAGUAGAAAGCUACUACAUAAUACCACAAAAACUACUGCCAAGGAAGUAGAAAGCAGUAAGGCUUAGAUCAAAGAAGAUCGCUGAGGAUGAAGGAAGAGCUCCUCAGAGAUCUUCCGAAGGCUUACCAUGGCUUCAGAUCUUUAUCGGAGAAAUGAUGUAAUCGGAGGAGCAAGAGAGAGAAAGAGAAGAGAGAGAGAGAGAGAGGAGGGGGACCACGUCGUCGGAAUCGGUUUGACCUUCGCGUUGAUGGGAUGCAGUCAAGGCCGAAGCGGAGGUCGUCGAGGAGUCUUCGACGGUGGAUCCAGAAGUCAUCAUCGAGGCGGCGGCGACUUCGUCCCGGCGGCAACGUCGGAAUCGGUUUGACCUUCGCGUUGAUGGGAUGCAGUCAAGGCCGAAGCGGAGGUCGUCGAGGAGUCUUCGACGGUGGAUCCAGAAGUCAUCGUCGAGGCGGCGGCGACUUCGUCACGGCGGCAGCGUCGGAAUCAAAGUGGAAGAAUGGAGAGAGAGAGAGAGAGAGAGAGAGAGAGUAUUAUCGCAAAUGAGAGGAAUAGAUUUGGUGUAAAGAGAGAGGGUAUUUUAGGUACAUUGUAAAAACAAAAUGACAGAUCUAGGCUUAAAAGUGGACUUAUGUGGGUAAAAAUGUUUAGGUGGACCUCUGUGAGAGAAAAUGUCCCAAAGUAGACUUAUAUGAAAUUUUCUAUACUUUCUAAGGGAAAUUAGUGCUGCUCAUUUGAAACACACUAGGUCUCAUACCAAAAAGACAAAUUAGUCCGAGUGUUAAUGCUUUUGGUAAUAAAACACCCAAAAAAGGUUAGAGCACAACCAACAGACGGGAGAAAUACCAAUCAGUACCCAACAACAUUUCCUUUAGCAAUUCAGUCCACAAUAAUUUCAUUUAUGCAGUUUAGUCCUACUCCAAUUUUUUUUUUUUUUUUUUUUUUUUUUUUUUUACUUUAAUUUUCUUUACUUUACCUCGUAAGACUUACUAUCCUAAGAACUAGCCUUUAAUAUGCCAUCUUUUCACUUAACGACACCUUGUCUUUCUGGUUACUAUCCUGGCGGAAUCACUGCUGCCUUAGUAUAGUAAAGCUUCCUAGCACUUACUAGCAAAAUAUACAAAACAUAAGAAUAUAAAGCACACAUGCAAAUUUAAAUAUUUAGUUUGUGACUGAUUAUAGGGCACAAGAUAGAAUUCAUUUAUUCAUGAAUACAAAUAUACAACCUAGAGCCUC